UUAAAGAGUGCGUAAUAGCUCACUGGUCAAGUGGUUCCGCGCCGACAAUGUAGCGGGGCUCAAGUACACCGCCGAAGCUGUGGCACUCACACGUGUGCUUCGCAUCGUCUUUCGGGAUGGUGUGCAGU
rnacentral:rRNA from 1 species